GGCUCUGUGGCGCAAUGGAUAGCGCAUUGGACUUCUAAUUCAAAAAUUGUGGGUUCGAGUCCCACCAGAGUCG
rnacentral:tRNA from 1 species